UCCCUUGUAGCUUAGUUGGUAAAGAAUCUGCCUGCAGUGCAGGAGAUCCGGGUUCGAUCCCUGGGUUGAGAA
rnacentral:tRNA from 1 species